AUUGAACGCUGGCGGCAGGCCUAACACAUGCAAGUCGAGCGGAUGAAGGGAGCUUGCUCCUGGAUUCAGCGGCGGACGGGUGAGUAAUGCCUAGGAAUCUGCCUGGUAGUGGGGGAUAACGUCCGGAAACGGGCGCUAAUACCGCAUACGUCCUGAGGGUGAAAGUGGGGGAUCUUCGGACCUCACGCUAUCAGAUGAGCCUAGGUCGGAUUAGCUAGUUGGUGGGGUAAAGGCCUACCAAGGCGACGAUCCGUAACUGGUCUGAGAGGAUGAUCAGUCACACUGGAACUGGAACACGGUCCAGGCUACUACGGGAGGCAGCAGUGGGGAAUGUGGGACAAUGGGCGAAAGCCUGAUCCAGCCAUGCCGCGUGUGUGAAGAAGGUCUUCGGAUUGUAAAGCACUUUAAGUUGGGAGGAAGGGCAGUAAGUUAAUACCUUGCUGUUGUGACGUUACCAACAGAAUAAGCACCGGCUAACUUCGUG
rnacentral:rRNA from 1 species